rfam:Schistosoma haematobium scaffold519_21, whole genome shotgun sequence.
GCAAUGCUGAAGAGUUCCAAACUAGGACGAAACGGCCGUCCAAUGC